UACCCUCAUAGGAUUAGAUAAACACUAAAAUGUACGUUCACUGACCACUUAAUUGGAUGCAUGUGUUCAACGGCUCAUUAAUGCAAAUGUUUUAUCAGCCAACCACAUGGCAGCAGCUCAAUGCAUUUGGAAUGUAGAAGAAAGAUUGAAAGUAACUUUAAACAUUGUAUGGAGAAGGUCCCAGCUGAUAGAAAGGCAACAGUAACUCAGAUAACCACUGGUUACAACGGAGGUCUGCAGAAGAACAUCUCUAAUGCACAACAACCUUGAGGCAGAUGGGCUGCAGCAGCAGAAGAACACACCGGGUGAAACUCCUGUCAGCCAAGAACAGGAAACUGAGGCUACAAUUCACACAGGAUCACCAAAAUUGGACCAUAGAAGUAAAAAAAAAAUGCUGUUUGGUCUGUAGCAACAUAUGGAUAGUAGGGUCAGAAUUUGGUGCCAACAACAUGAAACCAUAGAUCCAUCGUACCUUAUACCAACAGUUCAGCCUGGUGGUGUAAUGGUUUGGGCUAUUUUCUUGGCACACUUUGGGCCCCUUAGUACCAACUGAUCAUGGUUACAACGCCACAGCCUACCUGAGUAUUGUUACAGACCAUGUCCAUCCCUAUAUGAACAUAGUGUACCAUCUUCUGAUGGCUUCUUCCCGCAGGAUAUGGCAACAUGUCAUAAAGCUGGAAUCAUCUCAAACUAGUUUCUUGAACAUGAUAAUGAGUUCACUGGACUCUAAUAUCAUCCAGCGUCACCAGAUCUCAACCCAAUAGAUCACCUUUGGGAUGAACAAGAGAUUGACAUCAUCCCUGUGUGAUGUGGUCAUGUCAAUAUGGACCAAACUCUCCGAGGAAUGUUUCUAGUACCUCGAUGAAGGAAAUUGUGAAGGCGAAAUGGGUCCAACCUGGUGGUGUACCGAAUAAAGUAGUUGAUCUCACAUGUAAGACAAUGAAAACAACAGCCGACAACUGUGCCACACUUUUUUUUCUACGAGUUCAUUCUGGAAUAACACCUGACCCAGUGAAACGCAUCAACACAACUGAGAACAGCGUGAUCAAACUUAGACUGGUUCAGAUUCAGUCAGCAUCACUGCUGGUGACACACUGCGGGAAAUAGUGAGGCUACUGAAAGCAGAGCUGCAUGCAGCUGCAGUCUAAUGCAAUCAGGUUGCUCCAACUCAUGAGGCGGCAGAAGUGCUUCCAAACAUCCUGACUGUCUUGCUCAGGGUGAAGAAUGAUCCGGUUUGAAAAUGUGGGGCAGCCAGGCUUGGUUUGUGUUGCGGGAAAAGUCUGUGGAUCUUAUCGAGCAGUGCACUGCUUAUUUAAGUGAUGUGAAAAUAAAAGCUGUUUAAUUGGUUUAAAAAAUGUCACUUUUCUGUCCUACAAACGCCACAUGACACACUGAGCUUCUUAUGCCUGCUUUUCAAUUCACGCCCCUACAAAUAUUACGAAGACGACAGGUUUUCCUCCAUCUAUCAUCUGCUUGUCCUUCAAUCAAGAAAUAAUCGUUAGAAUCUAAUGAAACACUUUGCUGCACAAAUCUACCUGACAUCCAAAUAUGCAGAAGUCUAGCCUGGAGGGAAAGCAACGCAUAACUGACGAAGUGUUUCCAGCUCAAUGACUGCUCAACCAGCAGGUAAUUGCAGGUGGGAGCGAAUAUGAGUGAAUAAUAUUUGGCAGAUCAGACCUGGAGCAUUUUAAACAAUGCUGUCCAUCAAGUGACAAUCACAAACAAUUUAGAACAGGUCUCAGGUACGACUCACCUGUGGGAAAAAAAUGUCUUGAGCAAUGGUUGCGUGACAUACGGUGUGAAUGAUUCAGUUUCGAGUUACGUUUCGACAUAAUUAACCGGUACAGAUAUGCAAGAGAAAUUUGGGAAGCCGAAAGUGGUUUGUAAAAAAAAAAUUCUUCUGAGAAAAACGUUUUCUAAUUUUCUGUGAACAGUCUCCCCACGUCUGAGUGGAUUGUUCUACAACAAUAUCUAGAUUCAAUAAAAUUAUGAUUUGAAGUGAACUGAGGGUGAAAGUAUGUGUUUUCUCCAGAUCUACACAGGUUCUAUAGGACAGAUAGAGUUGACGGAUUCCAUUCUGCCUCAAAACUAAAAUAAAAAAACAAACAUACAAAAAA